rnacentral:rRNA from 1 species
AGUGAACGCUGGCGGUAGGCCUAACACAUGCAAGUCGAACGGCAGCACAGUAAGAGCUUGCUCUUACGGGUGGCGAGUGGCGGACGGGUGAGGAAUACAUCGGAAUCUACUUUUUCGUGGGGGAUAACGUAGGGAAACUUACGCUAAUACCGCAUACGACCUACGGGUGAAAGCAGGGGAUCUUCGGACCUUGCGCGAUUGAAUGAGCUGAUGUCGGAUUAGCUAGUUGGCGGGGUAAAGGCCCACCAAGGCGACGAUCCGUAGCUGGUCUGAGAGGAUGAUCAGCCACACUGGAACUGAGACACGGUCCAGACUCCUACGGGAGGCAGCAGUGGGGAAUAUUGGACAAUGGGCGCAAGCCUGAUCCAGCCAUGCCGCGUGGGUGAAGAAGGCCUUCGGGUUGUAAAGCCCUUUUGUUGGGAAAGAAAAGCAGCAGGUUAAUACCCCGCUGUUCUGACGGUACCCAAAGAAUAAGCACCGGCUAACUUCGUG